rnacentral:rRNA from 1 species
UACGUAGGGUGCGCGCGUUGUCCGGAAUUAUUUGGCGUCAAGGGCUCGUCGGCGGUUUGUCGCGUCGGGAGUGAAAACACUGGGCUUAACUCAGUGCUUGCUUCCGAUACGGGCAGACUAGAGGUAUUCAGGGGAGAACGGAAUUCCUGGUGUAGCGGUGAAAUGCGCAGAUAUCAGGAGGAACACCGAUGGCGAAGGCAGGUCUCUGGGCAUUAACUGACGCUGAGGAGCGAAAGCAUGGGGAGCGAACAGG